rnacentral:rRNA from 1 species
CCUACGGGAGGCAGCAGUGGGGAAUAUUGGGCAAUGGAGGCAACUCUGACCCAGCAACGCCGCGUGAAUGAUGAAGGUCUUCGGAUUGUAAAGUUCUGUGAUGGGGGAUGAACACAAUGACGGUACCCCAAUAGCAAGCCACGGCUAACUACGUGCCAGCAGCCGCGGUAAUACGUAGGUGGCAAGCGUUAUCCGGAUUUACUGGGUGUAAAGGGAGCGUAGACGGUGCACCAAGUCUGGAGUGAAAUGCCGCAGCUUAACUGCGGAACUGCUUUGGAAACUGGCGAACUAGAGUGCGGGAGGGGUAAGCGGAAUUCCUAGUGUAGCGGUGAAAUGCGUAGAUAUUAGGAGGAACACCGGUGGCGAAGGCGGCUUACUGGACCGUAACUGACGUUGAGGCUCGAAAGCGUGGGGAGCAAACAGGAUUAGAUACCCGAGUAGUC